AUCGCUUCUAGGCCUUUUUGGCUAGUAUCAAGUGUAGUAUCUGUUCUUAUCAAUUUAAUAUCUGAUGUGUCCCCUAUCUGGAGACCAUAUAUUAGAUAUAUUUCUGGAACAGAGAGAUGGAAGAAGAGUUUGUUCUGUCUACUUCUCGCAUUGGCCUGGUAUUGCAGUUACUCCUGGAGCUGUAUAUCCAUC